rnacentral:lncRNA from 1 species
AUAAAACAAAAAUAAAACAAACAACAAAUUAAAAAUAACACAUGACAUUGAAAAUAAAAUUAAGGACUAAACUACUUCAUUCUAGAAGAAAAAAUAAGAAACUUCUCGAAAAAAAAUUCAGCUGUGUGCUUCCCUAAAAUUUCAAACUGGAAAAGAAAAGAAAAAAAAAACAAAAUAAACAAAAUAAAACUUUCAGCCGUGACCCUUCUGACGUGACACCCAUGUGUCGUGAUGAAAAUAUCAUUUCCAAGAAUUUC